rnacentral:rRNA from 1 species
GACGAAGGGGGCUAGCGUUGCUCGGAAUUACUGGGCGUAAAGCGCACGUAGGCGGCUUUCUAAGUCGGGGGUGAAAUCCUGGAGCUCAACUCCAGAACUGCCUUCGAUACUGGAAAGCUCGAGUCCGGGAGAGGUGAGUGGAACUGCGAGUGUAGAGGUGAAAUUCGUAGAUAUUCGCAAGAACACCAGUGGCGAAGGCGGCUCACUGGCCCGGUACUGACGCUGAGGCACGAAAGCGUGGGGAGCAAACAGG